AGAGACAAUCUCUACAAGACUCAUUUUAACACAAUGUUUGUUUGUUUUUUUUUUUAAUUGAGCUUAAAUAAAUCUGCUUGUGUUUUUUUUGAGGUGAAGCGGCUUUUAUGUGCAGACAGUUGCCUGUGCUCAAAACCAGCUGGAUACAAGGUAGUUCUUGUUCAAAAGUUGUGUGGCAGAGUUACUGGAAACAUGAGCUGUAGCUUCUGCAUCCUGUCUCUUGGUACAGUGUCCUCAUGGAGUACUGAUCUCUGAAUUACCUGAAUAAGAACCUCAGAAUGCCAUGACACCUGACCCAGAAUUUUAGGAUGUUGGUGUGACUUUGUCCCUUGAGUUCCUCUGAUGCUAAAAUCCCAUGUCCUAGUGCCAGAACCCUCAGCUGCUUAUGGAUUAUCCCUCAGUACAUUAUUAUGGAAGGAUCAGUUGACUUCUGUGGGAUACAUUGAAGAAUGAAGGUCUUCUGGAUCCUUUUCAAAUUCCACUAAGAAUGGUUUCACUUGUAGGUUUCUAAUUUCCUCAGAUUUGCUUCAAUCAAUAGAAUACUCUAAUCACAAAAAGACUAUUAUGUAUCAUAUGCUGAACUGUAGGCCAGUCCUUCCAAUGCAAUCCUGCUGCAUAAUUUUCCUUCAGGAGGGAUGAAGAAGCUUCAAAGUUGGUUACAUCUCAGGCCUGAAACUCUGAUCUAUUUUCCCAUGGAACCUGUUCAUUUUUUGACUGAAAAUUUGUAGAGAGGAUGUUACCCUCACUACGGCCACACGUCAGUAUCAACUCCAGUUGGAAAACUUCAAGAUUGGAUGCAGAAGUGUUAGACACAGCCAGUAUCUUUCCUGCCAUUACCCAAAACAGUUCUUAAUACAUUAUUUGCCUGAGUAUUAGCAGAAUUUAGAGUUCUCUCUAUACAAAAACUCUGGAAGUUGAAAAUUAUCUUACAUCUUUAAUGAAUGAUUCCCUUCCAACUAACUAUGUAUUCUGUAGGAUGAAUAUGACACUAAAUGUCAUAGAAACGAAUUAAGCAGUUUUCUCCAGAGGCCUGAAAUAACUUCCUUCUGUUACUAAGGAUUUUCAGUCAACAUCCUCUAGUGGACCUUAGCAAAUUAAAAAGAUUACUUCUGCUGUUCUGGUGUAUCAAACCUUCUUCUCAACAUAUAUCCACCACCUACCUUUCUUCUUCAUAAUAUGCAAAAGUUUGUCACGAUUUUAACUUAAAAAAAAAGUCACUACUGUUGGUAAAAUUGAAGAAAUGAUCUCUGAAGAAUAACGUUAACAUAUAUGUUUAACACUAAAUAAGUGGUGAUUUAAUCUCACACAAGCAACAAACAUUCCUGACCAGAUAUGUUUUGUAUAACUAUUGCCUGGCAUUAUAUUUGAGUGCACCACUUCUGCAAAAGGCAGCAAGAUUGCUGCUAUUUACCCCUGUAAAUGCUGUUAAAUGCUUAGUUAUCUAUGUUGAGUUAUUUCAUGCUUUGAUUCAUAGUACUGCUGCUACUGUUUGCUGUGAAUAUAUUAUUUUGAGACCUUCAUCUUUGUCUAAUUUCUCUGAGUGAUAAAGGAAGAUUGUGAAUAAAUUGUUUCCAGC
ensembl:lncRNA